CAGUAGCCUCACUGGGGGCUGACGAGGUAUAAGCGUAGUCCGUUUCGCUACGAAGUCGGGUAUUUGUUUUACUACGAAAACAUUGUGUACAUACACAUGACAUCGAAGAACGGAUUAGUGGAAAUUUGUGUUUAAAACAGAGUCAUGGAGUGGCUGGAUGUUUCCUUUGGGGAAGAGAUAGUAACAACGACACAACAUGAUCCGAAGCGCACAGUCGACAUGGUAAUGCACAUUAUUAUGAUAUAAUUAAAUUCACGACUAGGCCAAAGGAAACGAUCAAAAUCGAAAAUCCAUAUAUAAGACGACAGUUGAGAGUCGAGAACCUAUUGUCGU